rnacentral:rRNA from 1 species
UACGGAGGGGACUAGCGUUGUUCGGAAUUACUGGGCGUAAAGCGCGCGUAGGCGGCUUUGCAAGUCGGGUGUGAAAUCCCCAGGCUUAACCUGGGAACUGCAUUCGAGACUGCAUUGCUAGAGUAUGGGAGAGGGAAGUGGAAUUUCCGGUGUAGCGGUGAAAUGCGUAGAUAUCGGAAGGAACAUCAGUGGCGAAAGCGACUUCCUGGACCAAUACUGACGCUCAUGUGCGAAAGCGUGGGGAGCAAACAGG